rnacentral:rRNA from 1 species
UUAGAGUUUGAUCCUGGCUCAGGAUGAACGCUAGCGGCAGGCUUAACACAUGCAAGUCGAGGGGCAGCGAGAUCAGUGCUUGCACUGAUUGUCGGCGACCGGCGCACGGGUGCGUAACGCGUAUGCAACCUACCCAUUACAGGGGGAUAACACUGAGAAAUCGGUACUAAUACCCCAUAACAUCCAGGGAGGCAUCUUCUUGGGUUGAAAACUCCGGUGGUAAUGGAUGGGCAUGCGUUGUAUUAGUUAGUUGGUGGGGUAACGGCUCACCAAGACAACGAUACAUAGGGGGACUGAGAGGUUAACCCCCCACAUUGGUACUGAGACACGGACCAAACUCCUACGGGAGGCAGCAGUGAGGAAUAUUGGUCAAUGGACGCAAGUCUGAACCAGCCAUGCCGCGUGCAGGAAGACGGCUCUAUGAGUUGUAAACUGCUUUUGUACGAGGGUAAACGCAGAUACGCGUAUCUGUCUGAAAGUAUCGUACGAAUAAGGAUCGGCUAACUCCGUGCCAGCAGCCGCGGUAAUACGGAGGAUUCAAGCGUUAUCCGGAUUUAUUGGGUUUAAAGGGUGCGUAGGCGGUCGGAUAAGUUAGAGGUGAAAUCCCGGGGCUCAACUUCGGAAUUGCCUCUGAUACUGUUCGGCUAGAGAGUAGUUGCGGUAGGCGGAAUGUAAGGUGUAGCGGUGAAAUGCUUAGAGAUCAUACAGAACACCGAUUGCGAAGGCAGCUUACCAAGCUACUUCUGACGUUGAGGCACGAAAGCGUGGGGAGCAAACAGGAUUAGAUACCCUGGUAGUCCACGCAGUAAACGAUGAUAACUCGUUGUCGGCGAUACAGUGUCGGUGACUAAGCGGAAGCGAUAAGUUAUCCACCUGGGGAGUACGUUCGCAAGAAUGAAACUCAAAGGAAUUGACGGGGGCCCGCACAAGCGGAGGAACAUGUGGUUUAAUUCGAUGAUACGUGAGGAACCUUACCCGGGCUUGAAAGUUAGUGACGGAUCUUGAAAGAGGUCUUCCCUUCGGGGCACGAAACUAGGUGCUGCAUGGUUGUCGUCAGCUCGUGCCGUGAGGUGUCGGGUUAAGUCCCAUAACGAGCGCAACCCCUACCGUUAGUUGCCAGCAGGUCAAGCUGGGCACUCUGACGGGACUGCCGGUGUAAGCCGAGAGGAAGGUGGGGAUGACGUCAAAUCAGCACGGCCCUUACGUCCGGGGCUACACACGUGUUACAAUGGCAGGUACAGAGGGCAGCUACCCAGCGAUGGGAUGCGAAUCUCGAAAGCCUGUCUCAGUUCGGAUUGGAGGCUGAAACCCGCCUCCAUGAAGUUGGAUUCGCUAGUAAUCGCGCAUCAGCCAUGGCGCGGUGAAUACGUUCCCGGGCCUUGUACACACCGCCCGUCA